rnacentral:tRNA from 1 species
CGCGGGGUAGCGCAGCCUGGUAGCUCGUCCGGCUCCUAACACGGAGGUCGUUGGCUCACAUCCAGCCCCCACAC